rnacentral:tRNA from 4 species
GCUAGUGUGGCUCAGCAGGUAGAGCAGCUGAUUCGUAAUCAGCAGGUCGCCGGUCCGAAUCCGGCCACUAGCUCCA